GUCUACGGCCAUGCUGCCCCGAACAAGCCCGAUCCCGUCUGAUCUCGGAAGCUAAGCAGAGUUGGGCCUGGUUAGUACUUGGAUGGGAGACCACCUAGGCACACCAGGUGCUGUAGGCG
rfam:Pteropus alecto contig58231, whole genome shotgun sequence.